rnacentral:lncRNA from 1 species
AGAGCGAAUUUUAGAAUUUAAGUAGUAGAGAGAAGAAUGUUUGUAAAAUAUUCCUAUCAAUAAAGCAUUCAGUUUGAUACAACAAUGAGCAACUAACUCUUUUAGAGUUAAAGAAGAUAAGCAAGAAAGUAGAGAAAGUAUUAUAAGUUUUUAGAAGCAUCUCUGGAGCUCUGUAGGACGGUUGAUCAAGGGCAUUGAAGCUAUGAUUGCGCGUAGCCCGCCUUAUCCUGUCUUGAGUUGGGAUCAUAAAACUUAGGUACGUUUCUUUAUUAGUAUUGUUUAUACUCUUUAAUUCAAUCUAUCUUAAAGAAUUUAUUAGUUAAACUCCAAUUGAAAUAAGAAUGUUAGAAUUAAAGCAUAUAUACAAUGACAGUCAGUAUCACAUAAUUGGAAUAGUAAAUAAUAAGCUAUGUAUCAUACUUAUAGAUACAGGAGCAUGUAUGAGUCAUAUCACUUCAGAUUUAGUAUGUGAAGUAUAUGAAGCAGAAAGAGAAUUCAGAUAUAAAGACUUUUUAGGUCUAGAACAUAUUCAGAAUAAAGUAUCAGAAGUAGAAAUAAUACUUAGUCAAGAUCUACAGUUCAAAGUAGAACUUUUAGUAGAUUAUCAAGAGAAAGCAAGAGAAGUACUAUUGGGAAUAGACUUCUUAGAACAUUUUGAGUAUACAAUUAGAAAUGAAGAGUUAGUGUUAAAUAUAGAAGGAAAGCAAUUCAGAAUUUCACGAAUAAGAUUUCAAAGGAACUUUUAGUAGAUUAUCGAAAGAAAGCAAGAGAAGUACUAUUGGGAAUAGACUUCUUGGAACGUUUUGAGUAUACAAUUAAAAAUGAAGAAUUACUAUUAAACAUAAAAGGAAAGCAAUUCAGAAUUCCACGAAUAAGAUUAAAUCCACAUCAGAUCAGAGAAAAUCUAAUCUAAUAGAUUUAGAUAAUAAUAUCAUUCAGUUAGAAGAUAAUCAAGGAAAAUAUAUUCAAGAUAUUUUAUUAGAUAAGAAAAUAGUUAACCAAGUAAAAAAUAAAGAAAGUUUAGAUAUAAUUGAAACAGAAGGAGUUAAAACAUCUUUGUUUCAAAAAAUAUCUAGAAAAAUAGUAUAUAUUAUGGUAUUAUGCAAGGAAAACAAAUUGUUAAAAUAGAACAAGCAACUACUAAGUUUCAAGCACCAUUAGUUGAUAUAAAUCAAAUUGGAAAAAGAUUAGCAGCUAUUAAAGGCGAAGAUAGAAAGAAGAUAGGAUACAUACAUAUCAAUACAAUACAAAUAAUCCUUAUAUCAAUGUGUAGAGAAGGUAUUAAAACACCUGUAAUUCUAACAGUUGAAGACAAUAGAAUUAUGAAAAAUCAAUUCAGAAAGUUUGGAGAAAUUGAAGGAGAUCUACUAGGAAUAAUUUGUAAUUUCCUAGAAAAAGAUUUAAUGGAAAAAGGCGAUAUUCCUUUAAUAAUAUGCUAUAGGAUAACCUGUGCAUUAAGUAAUUCUUGUUUAAGUUUAACUUACAAGAAUCGGAAAAAUAUUUAUACAGAAAAAUUAUUUAGUGAAACUAGUACAUUAAUAAAAAAUGAUGAAGUAUCACACAAAUAAUCUCUAGUUAAAUUCAUAGGUAAUAAAUUUUUUCGGUAAAUCCCAAGCUAUACUACAAAGAAUAAAUUUCUAGAAAAAAUUACAAUAAACUAAUCCCCGUGUAGUUUCACCAAUUAAGUAAAAAAAAUCUAACUAAAUUCACGUCAACCAAAUCUCUAGGUAAUACCCAAUAUAAGAAAAUUCGCAGGUAAAUCCCAAGAAAAUAUCCCUAUCUAAAUUUGUAGCACUAAUAUCCGUUGCAAUAAUAUCCCUAGGUAAUUUCCCAAAUAAGCAAAUCCCCAGAUAAAUCCCCAAGAAAAUAUUCCCAACUAAAGUCGCAUGUAGAGUUUACCUAGGGACUUUCCUUUGGAUUAACAUAGGACUUUUUUUUCAUUUUCUUUAUUUUGCUUACCUGCGGAUUUUACUACGGAAUGUACUUGCUGAUUUAUUUCCGCAAGUAAUUUCCCAGGUAAUAUUUUGGCGCAUAAUGACGCCAAAGUUACUUGUGGAUUUUCCUAGAAAAAUAUUAUUCGCAUGUUUCUAAAUUUAGGAAUUAUAAUGUUUCCUAUGAAAAUCUGUAGGUAUUAUCUGCGAAUAAAAUACCCGGAUAGAAUCCCGGUGUAAUUAGCAAUUUUCUUGUAGUGCAACAAGCUUCUUGUAGCGAUAGUAUGAGAUAUUUACAAAUAUAUGAACACUGCUCUUUACCUUAGUCUUAUUUUUUUAAUAUUUUAUUGGAUUUUUUUACCUAUUUAAGACAUUCAAAAAUCAAUUAAUGCAGAAAAUGCAAGAGAUGUACAACAUGCCGCGUCUAUAGUGGGAAAAGGAGGACAUUAAUAACAGUAGAGCGAAAAAUCUCAAGAUACAAAACAAGCGAUUGGAAGAAAUUGGUGCUGCAGAAAGUUCGGCCUUGGAAAAAUCCUUUAAUUUGACCUUUGCGGGGAGCUGUCGCUUUCACUAUUCAUCAAGUUUACAAAAAAACAAGAAAACAGUUGCACCAUUUAAUAAAGAACGAGACUUGAAAAAUCUGCUGAAUUCACUUUAUUAAAAUCAAAAAUUAGAAACUAGGACAUAAAGAAACAUUAACCAAUCUAUCCAUCUUCUCACGAUAUGCUAUUCUCUCAAAUAUACCGUUUUAAAAUAUCAAGACGCAACCCCUAAAGGAUACAAUUGCAUUUAAAUCCAACUCACGACUCACAAAAUUUUUAACAUUGAACUCAAUAUAUAAUUAAAUUUAUGGGUUCAAAUUUAUUAUUUUUGUAAUUUUAAUGAAUGUUUACACAUAUAUUUCGAAAGUUAUAGGUUCAAUUGAACGCGUAACACUCACACUGCAUCUGCCUCUGAACAUCAGUCCUUUAUGACUGCAACUAGGGGUGUUCAUCGGGCGGAUUGGGCGGCUUUUACUCUUAACGGUUUGGCUUAACGGUNNN